rnacentral:rRNA from 1 species
GCAAGUCGAACGGCAAGCGUACCUCGGGUAGCCUAGAGUGGCGGACUGGUGAGUAACGACGUGGGUGACGAUGCCUUCAGGACUGGAAUAGCCUGCAGAAAUGCAGGGUAAUGCCGGAUACGGUGCAGGACGUUAGGGGUCCUGCAAGAAAGGAGCAUUUGCUCCGCCGGGAGAUUGGCCCGCGGCCCAUUAGCUAGUUGGUGAGGUAAAGGCCCACCAAAGGCAAUGAUGGGUAUCCGGCCUGAGAGGGUGAUCGGACACAUUGGGACUGAGAUACGGCCCAGACUCCUACGGGAGGCAGCAGCUAAGAAUAUUCCGCAAUGGAGGAAACUCUGACGGAGCGACGCCGCGUGGAUGAUUGAAGGCCGAAAGGUUGUAAAAUCCUUUUGAACCGGAAGAAUAAGCGCAGGAGGGAAUGCCUGCGUGGUGACGGUACGGUUCGAAUAAGCAACGGCUAAUUACGUGCCAGCCGCCGC